AACGAACGCUGGCGGCGUGCCUAACACAUGCAAGUCGAACGAGACCUUCGGGCUUUUGGGCGCUCGGCGGCGUGCGGCGUGGGGAGUUGCCCUUGGGUUCGGUAUACCUCCCCGUGGGGGAUGCUAAGACCAGUUGGUGUCAUAGGGCCUAAGAUCUAUCGCCUCUGGAUGGGCGCGCGUUGGAUUAGCUGGUUGGUAGGGGAAUAGCCUACUAAGGGGACGAUCCAUAGCUGGUCAGGGAGAAUGACCAGCAACAGUGGGAGUGAGACACGGCCCAGACUCCUGCGGGAGGCGGCAGUGGUGAAUAAUGGACGGCGGGAGCAAGCCUGAGCCAGCAAUGCCGCGUGAGUGAUGAAGGCCGGAGGGUAGUAAAGCUCUUUUAUCAGGGAUGGUAAUGACAGUACCGGGAGAAUAAGCUCCGGCUAACUCCGUG
rnacentral:rRNA from 1 species